CGGACGGGUGAGUAACGCGUGGAGAACCUGCCGUAUACUGGGGGAUAACACUUAGAAAUAGGUGCUAAUACCGCAUAAGCGCACAGCUUCGCAUGAAGCAGUGUGAAAAACUCCGGUGGUAUACGAUGGAUCCGCGUCUGAUUAGCUGGUUGGCGGGGUAACAGCCCACCAAGGCGACGAUCAGUAGCCGGCCUGAGAGGGUGAACGGCCACAUUGGGACUGAGACACGGCCCAAACUCCUACGGGAGGCAGCAG
rnacentral:rRNA from 1 species